rnacentral:rRNA from 1 species
GAUGAACGCUGGCGGCGUGCCUAACACAUGCAAGUCGAACGGAAAGGCCCUGCUUUUGUGGGGUGCUCGAUUGGCGAACGCGUGAGUAACACGUGUGUAUCCUGCCCUUGUCUUUGGGAUAACUUCACGAAACUGGGGCUAAUAUCGUAUAGGAUCUCCUGCUGCAUGGUGGGGGUUGGAAAGUUUCGGCGGUUGGGGAUGGACUCGCGGCUUAUCAGCUUGUUGGUGGGGUAGUGGCUUACCAAGCCUUUGACGGGUAGCCGGCCUGAGAGGGUGGACGGGGUCAUUGGGCCUGCGGUAGGGAGCAGACGCGUACGUGAGGCAGCAGUGGGGAAUAUUGCACAAUGGGCGGAAGCCUGAUGCGGCAACGCUGCGUGCGGAAUGACGGCCUGUGGGUUGUGAACAGCUUUCGACUGUGACGAAGCGGGAGUGACGGUAAUGAGUAAAGAAGCACCGGCUAACUACGUG